CUCCUGUGGUCCUCCCCCUCUCAACCACCACCACGCCACCACCUCCCCUCCCUUUUUUUUUCCGCAUCCCAGACACUCCUGGAAACCCUAGCUCGUUCCCAUCCACGCCGCCGCCACCUACCUCCCUCCAAUCUUUCUCGUUUCUCUUCUCUGUGAGGAAACGAAGGAGACAACCUCACAGAACCACCACUUCCGUCUCAUGGCGCCGCCGCGGCAGGCCUCCCCUCGCCACUCCGAGACCACCCUCAGAACCGCCUCAUCUUCCUCGUCAUCUCCAUCUAAGGAAUCGACCCGAGGCCCUCUAAAUCGGCCGCAAAUUCGCCGUUUCCGUUUCCAACCCCGGCGGGAAAAACUCUGAUUCCGGCCGCUGCGGCCAUCCUCCGGCGCCACUGACCUCUCCAUGAGCUUCACGGUCCUCGCCGGCGGCGUCUCUCCGGCGACCCCCUAGACUCGGCACCGCCACCAUCUGGUUCCCUACGUUGAGGUGCAUCCCCGACGCCUACUUCCUCGUCCCAGUUCGCUCGGAAGCCUCAGAUCGAAACUCGUCUGCAAGCUCAGCCAUGGCAGGCUCUUCCCAGAUCUUCCGCGUCGGCCUGGGUUAAAAGGCUGCGCAACCCCUUCCAUCCAACAAUAGAUGCAUCAGCCCAUCUGAUCUGGCGUCCCAUGGGCCUGGCCCGAGAUCAGCCGGCUCAGUCCAUCGUCCGCCUUGCGACCAGAAGCUAUCUGCCGCCCGCAGCAGGACAGAUCGGGCCCAUGACAGUGCAGCAUUUGCUUCUUCCCGGAUAGGAUCGCGAAGUGGUGUGGUGAGAUACGACGAGUUCUCCGGAUGUCCCUCGGCAAGCUUUAACAGGCAAGCAUUUCCCCUAUACUCCUGUCCCUGCAGGAGUCGCUCACCUAUUUUAUUUUGCCUUCUCCCUCAUGCUAUCCUUAAGUUGCGUUCUUGUCACGUGUCCUUUCCACUUGUUACCUCAAGCAGCCCAUAUUGCCACCACAACCUCCUACGGCUAUUGUUUGGUUAUCGAGUCUGCCCUUGCGAGUCGUAGUGCAUGCUAGUGCUGUUUUAUCUCGUUACCGUUAUUGUUAUCUUAUUUGGGUUAUAUGUUGGGAAGAAUCAUGGUUACUUUAGUUGUUGACAUUUGUUUAGCGGAGGCAUCGGUGGGUCAGCUGCUCGUUUUGUGACGGCUCACUUGUGUUUCCGUAAUACCUUAGGACCCCGAGUUCUUGUUAUCUGU